AACGAACGCUGGCGGCAUGCCUAACACAUGCAAGUCGAACGAAGCCUUCGGGCUUAGUGGCGCACGGGUGCGUAACGCGUGGGAAUCUGCCUCUUGCUUCGGAAUAACAGUUAGAAAUGACUGCUAAUACCGGAUGAUGUCUUCGGACCAAAGAUUUAUCGGCAAGAGAUGAGCCCGCGUAGGAUUAGGUAGUUGGUGGGGUAAAGGCCUACCAAGCCGACGAUCCUUAGCUGGUCUGAGAGGAUGAUCAGCCACACUGGGACUGAGACACGGCCCAGACUCCUACGGGAGGCAGCAGUGGGGAAUAUUGGACAAUGGGGGAAACCCUGAUCCAGCAAUGCCGCGUGAGUGAUGAAGGCCUUAGGGUUGUAAAGCUCUUUUACCAGGGAUGAUAAUGACAGUACCUGGAGAAUAAGCUCCGGCUAACUCUGUGCCAGCCGCCGCCGUAAGAC
rnacentral:rRNA from 1 species